CUGCUCCUUGCGCCUCGUCUCCCAGCUCUGAGCACUGGCCGUGCGCCCUGCUCCUCCUCUUGCCUCCGCAGCUUCUCUGGGAAUGCUGCGACUUCCUCCUCGCAUUUGAACGUCCAACUCCAGCUCUUGGAGAGGACGCAGAGCUGGACCUUUCCAUGCUGGCUUCGACGCACAUUUUUACGCGUGAAUUGAUGCGCUCCCAUCAUUCCGGGCGGACCGCGCGGAUUUAAGCUUCUGUUACAUGCUGCCGUCCAAAGGAAUCCCAUAAGGCUUGGAAAAGAGUGACUAAUGUGACCCCUGGACCUCCCUGCUGAGCAUCAUGGGAUGUGGCACUUCUGUUGCUACUGAAAUGCAAGUAAAGCAACUGGAAACAGAUGAAGCCGUUAAAAGCCCCAGCCCGGCUCUCACAAUGAAGGCAGCUGUUUUGAUCCAGCGGUGGUACCGGCGCUACAUGGCCCGACUGGAGAUACGAAGGAGGUACACAUGGAACAUCUUUCAGUCCAUCGAAUAUGCUGGAGAACAGGACCAGCUACAGCUGUCCAGUUUCUUCACUUAUAUGCUGGACAAUUUCACCCACCUUAACGGAAACGGGCCUGACCUGAUCUCCCAGUUGUUGGAUCCCGUCAUCGACGCCUGGUUAGACAGAGAGACCUGCUACAAAACAAUCCCCAUCCCAGAGUCUUACACUGGACCUCGUAUUUUGUUUCCUCUGUCUGUCUCUGAUACAAACGCCCUCCUGAGUGCUUUUAAAGAGCAGCAGAUUCUACAUGCCAGGUAUGUCUUGCAGCUGCUCUACGAGAGCAAAAAGCUCCUCAAACAGAUGCCAAAUAUUGUCCAUUUGUCAACGUCCUACACCAAGGAGAUCACCAUAUGUGGCAAACCUGAAAACAUUUGUCAUUCUGAUGCUGUCAACACGUCAGGUGAUCUGCACGGCCAGCUGGAUGACUUGCUUCUGAUAUUCUAUAAGAAUGGUCUGCCUUCUGCUGAGACACCCUACAUCUUUAAUGGAGACUUUGUGGAUCGUGGGAAAAAGUCGGUAGAAGUUGUAAUCCUCCUACUUGCCUACCUUCUGCUUUACCCAGACCACAUGCAUCUGAACCGAGGAAACCACGAGGAUCACAUCAUGAACCUCAGAUACGGAUUCACAAAAGAAGUUAUGCAGAAGUAUAAGACUCAUGGCCAUGAGAUCCUCCAGCUGUUUCAGGACGUUUUCAGCCUUCUGCCCAUCGCAACAGUCAUUGAUGCAAAGAUCCUCAUUGUGCACGGAGGAAUUUCAGACCAGACUGAUCUGGAAUUGCUCAGCUCCAUAGAGCGGCACAAGGUGAAAUCUGCCCUGAGGUUUCCUAGACGCAGUUUGGAGCAGCUUGACAUCGGUCAGUCCCAUCGACUGGGCAAAAGAAUGAGGUCGACGGACAUCUCUCGUCCCAGCAGCACUCGUAGCUACAAUGGGAACCACAGGACCCCCACUCUGAGAAAGAGGAGAUGCAGGCUGAGCUGGCAAGAUAGCGGAGCCUCCACUUCGUCAUCUUCAUCCUCAUCGUCGUCCUGUUCUUCACUCUGCUCUCCUCGAACUCCCUCCUGCAUCUCACCUCAAACGUACCCCUCGUCUCCCAGCACACCCUGCAACGUCCUCCAGGUGCCUUUCCUGGACUCUCUGUCCUCUGUCCCUCUCCCAUCACCUCCACAACAGGAACGGGAAUGGAAACAGAUUGUGGAUAUAUUGUGGAGUGACCCUAAAACCCAGGAAGGCUGCAGCCCCAACUCUUUCAGAGGUGGAGGCUGCUACUUCGGCCCUGACGUUACUCAGAGGCUGCUGUACAAGCACGGACUGCAGCUGCUCAUCCGCUCUCAUGAGUGCAAACAGGAGGGUUACGAACUCUGUCAUAGCGGACGGGUGAUCACCAUCUUCUCAGCAUCAAACUACUAUGAGGAGGGAAGCAACCGUGGUGCUUACAUCAAACUGGGAAAGGAACUGGUGCCUCGCUUCUACCAGUACCAAGUCAGCCGCACAACCCGCAGGCUUACACUGACACAGAGAGUUCGUGCAGCUGAAGGCUCUGCUCUCAGAGCUCUAAAGGAGAAACUGUUCGCCCAUCGAUCUGAGCUGAUGACAGUCUUCCUGCAGUAUGACCCAAAUGAAACCGGUUGCGUGUCAGUCGGUGAAUGGGCCAAGGUGCUGGAAUCUGUCCUGAGACUGGACUUACCCUGGCGGACACUUCGUCCACACUUAGUCCAUCUGGCACCAGAUGGCAGUGUUGAGUAUCAGUCCUGCUUUGAGGAUGUGGGACCAGGAGCUCCUCUGCCUCAGGUUGCUCCCAACUUGGCUGAAACUCUGUUCAGAUACAGAACCGACAUCGAGAUCAUUUUCAACAUCAUAGACAAAGAUCAUUCAGGUCUGAUCUCCAUUGAGGAGUUUCGCCACACCUGGCGCCUUUUCAGCGCUCACCUGGGAGUUGCCAUUGACGACAGAGCCAUUGAUGAGCUGGCCCGCAGUAUCGACUUCAACAAGGACGGCAGCAUAGACUUCACAGAGUUCUUGGAGGCCUUCAGGGUGGUGCACAAACUGGACAUUAAAGAUCAUCAUCUGAGCGAAAACGUGCAUAAAGAGAAGUUUGUUUGAGUAUCUGAAAGAAGGCAAAAGAAAAGGAGACAUAAACUCGAUGCGAAGAGAUACACCUGGACUCCAAACGACUGCAACCUUCAGUGUUGAUUUUUGAAGUGAUUACAGACCCGGGCAUCCUGUCAGCUCGGGAGUUGGAGUUUUUUGAAGCAGUAGUUUUUAGACGUGUGUGAACACAAAGUCGAUGCAAGAAGUGUAGAAACUGUUUUAGCAAAGCUGACUGCAAUAUAAAGAGGUAAGGCUGUCUAAA